rnacentral:rRNA from 1 species
AGUGAACGCUGGCGGCAGGCCUAAUACAUGCAAGUCGAACGGCAGCACAGCAGAGCUUGCUCUGUGGGUGACGAGUGGCGGACGGGUGAGGAAUACGUGGGAAUCUGCCCAGUCGUGGGGGAUAACGUAGGGAAACUUACGCUAAUACCGCAUGCGCCCUUCGGGGGAAAAGCCGGGGGACCUUCGGGGCCUGGCGCGAUUGGAUGAGCCCACGUCGGAUUAGCUAGUUGGCGGGGUAAAGGCCCACCAAGGCGACGAUCCGUAGCUGGUCUGAGAGGAUGAUCAGCCACACUGGAACUGAGACACGGUCCAGACUCCUACGGGAGGCAGCAGUAGGGAAUAUUAGACAAUGGGCGCAAGCCUGAUCCAGCCAUGCCGCGUGAGUGAAGAAGGCCCUC